rnacentral:pre_miRNA from 1 species
AUGUAGGGCAAUCUGUCUUUAAGUGGAAGUAAAUUACUCUUUAAUGAAAAAAAGAAUCCUAGGUAGUUUUUUUUUUAAAUCAAGUAUCUUGU